rnacentral:rRNA from 1 species
GACGAACGCUGGCGGCGUGCUUAACACAUGCAAGUCGAACGGAAAGGCCCUGCUUUUGUGGGGUGCUCGAGUGGCGAACGGGUGAGUAACACGUGAGUAACCUGCCCUUGACUUUGGGAUAACUUCAGGAAACUGGGGCUAAUACCGGAUAGGAGCUCCUGCUGCAUGGUGGGGGUUGGAAAGUUUCGGCGGUUGGGGAUGGACUCGCGGCUUAUCAGCUUGUUGGUGGGGUAGUGGCUUACCAAGGCUUUGACGGGUAGCCGGCCUGAGAGGGUGACCGGCCACAUUGGGACUGAGAUACGGCCCAGACUCCUACGGGAGGCAGCAGUCGGGAAUAUUGCACAAUGGGCGGAAGCCUGAUGCAGCAACGCCGCGUUCGUGAUGACGGCCUUCGGGUUGUAAACCGCUUUCGCCUGUGACGAAGCGUGAGUGACGGUAAUGGGUAAAGAAGCACCGGCUAACUACGUG